CCCUUAGAUGUUCUGGGCCGCACGCGCGCUACACUGACGAUGUCAGAGAGUGUCUCCUUCACCGAGAGGUGUGGGUAAUCUUUUAAACAUCGUCGUGCUGGGGAUAGAUCAUUGCAAUUUUUGAUCUUAAACGAGGAAUUCCUAGUAAGCGCGAGUCAUCAGCUCGCGCUGAUUACGUCCCCGCCCUUUGUACACACCGCCCGUCGCUACUCCCGAUUGAAUGGUUUAGUGAGGCCUUCUGACUGGCGCCGCUACUCUGGCAACAGAGCGGCGGAUGCCGGGAAGUUGGUCAAACUUGAUCAUUUAGAGGAAGUAAAAGUCGUAACA
rnacentral:rRNA from 1 species